CCGAUGUACGAUUCUAGGUAGAACACUUUGGAUUGCCUUGAGGCCGAAGAUGUCGACAGCGGCUGCAGGCCAAGGCCUGUCUUAGCCACUUGUAAGCAGUUUAAACUGAUAAAUGGAUUGAUUAUUGAUGGUAUCUAAAGGGCAGCUGAUGGAAACUUGUGCACACAUCUAUGUUUUCGACGGAUUGGAUCCCGCUCCCAAUGAGACUCUCCAAUGGACUCUAUAAGAAGGAACCGAUAAGCGGGCCAUAACAUGUCACCCAGCCAUCAGCCGCGGAAACCUGUCGAAGAGCGAGCCUCUCUGUGUUUUAUAGCCACUCAAAGAAUCAAAACCUCUGGAAGAACUAUUAAAGUUUCACCUGCGAGUCGAAAACACUCUUGAGGAGGCCCUCGUGUGGAGCUGUUGCCCCGGGCCUCUGCUCAUCAGGCAUUUGGACACAGUGUGACCGACCAACCAACCAACCAACCGACCGACUGGGCGCUUCUGCUGCUGGCUGGCUGGCUGGCUGGCAUUUGACAUUUGAUGGCGUGCGCUUGUCCCAUAACCAUUUCUUUAAGCUAAUAACAACAGCACCAGCAGCGAGCAGCGAGCAGCGAGCAGCAACAAUCAUAAUAAACUUUUCAUCUUUUUAUGUUAUGUUAAAUAUGAUGCUGCCCGUGGAUCGCAGAAUAGAUCGCGCAGAGACGCACAUCUGGAGACACUUUGUUAAUGGUCUCGCGCGCGUCUCCCCGGCCUCUCGAUCGGAGUGUGCCCGCGCCGUGUGUGUGUGUGUGUGUGUGUGCUCCCCCUUAUAAGUAGUGCUGGGGUCCCCCUCAACGAUGUUUGUUUUUAAUGCUACUAAAAACAGUUUUUAAAUGCAAAUUAAUGUAGGCUC